rnacentral:tRNA from 3 species
GCGGGGGUGGCAGAGUGGUCAAAUGCGACAGACUCAAGAUCUGUUCCCUUAGUGGGUACGUGGGUUCGAACCCCUCCCCCCGCA